UACGUAGGGAGCAAGCGUUGUCCGGAAUCAUUGGGCGUAAAGCGCGCGUAGGUGGCUCUGUAAGUCCGUUGUGAAAGUCAAAGGCUCAACCUUUGAAAGCCGAUGGAUACUGCAGAGCUAGAGUACGGAAGAGGCGAGUGGAAUUCCUGGUGUAGCGGUGGAAUGCGCAGAUAUCAGGAGGAACACCAAUAGCGAAGGCAGCUCGCUGGGACGUUACUGACACUGAGGCGCGAAAACGUGGGGAGCGAACAGG
rnacentral:rRNA from 1 species